CCUACGGGAGGCAGCAGUGGGGAAUAUUGGACAAUGGGCGAAAGCCUGAUCCAGCCAUGCCGCGUGUGUGAAGAAGGCCUUCGGGUUGUAAAGCACUUUCAGUGGGGAAGAAAGCCUUGGGGCUAAUACCCUCGAGGAAGGACAUCACCCACAGAAGAAGCACCGGCUAACUCCGUGCCAGCAGCCGCGGUAAUACGGAGGGUGCGAGCGUUAAUCGGAAUUACUGGGCGUAAAGCGCGCGUAGGCGGUCUGAUAAGCCGGUUGUGAAAGCCCCGGGCUCAACCUGGGAACGGCAUCCGGAACUGUCAGGCUAGAGUGCAGGAGAGGAAGGUAGAAUUGCCGGUGUAGCGGUGAAAUGCGUAGAGAUCGGGAGGAAUACCAGUGGCGAAGGCGGCCUUCUGGACUGACACUGACGCUGAGGUGCGAAAGCGUGGGUAGCAAACAGGAUUAGAUACCCGUGUAGUC
rnacentral:rRNA from 1 species